rnacentral:rRNA from 1 species
GUGGGGAAUCUUGCGCAAUGGGCGAAAGCCUGACGCAGCCAUGCCGCGUGAAUGAUGAAGGUCUUAGGAUUGUAAAAUUCUUUCACCGGGGACGAUAAUGACGGUACCCGGAGAAGAAGCUCCGGCUAACUUCGUGCCAGCAGCCGCGGUAAUACGAAGGGGGCUAGCGUUGCUCGGAAUUACUGGGCGUAAAGGGCGCGUAGGCGGACAGCUUAGUCAGAGGUGAAAGCCCAGGGCUCAACCUUGGAAUUGCCUUUGAUACUGGCUGUCUUGAGUUUGGGAGAGGUGAGUGGAACUCCGAGUGUAGAGGUGAAGUUCGUAGAUAUUCGGAAGAACACCAGUGGCGAAGGCGACUCACUGGCCCAAUACUGACGCUGAGGCGCGAAAGCGUGGGGAGCAAACAGGAUUAGAAACCCGAGUAGUCC